rnacentral:misc_RNA from 1 species
GAGAGAGAGAGAGAGAGGGAUGAGAAAACAACAGUGGUCCUUGGAAAGAGAUAUAAAUAACAAAAAAUGCAGAGAGCGCAACUAAUUAGGAAAACUAACAGUACAGUUAAAUGGCUUUGAACUUCCUUUCCUUGUCAUUUAUUUCUUUUUACAUAUUUAUAAAUUAUAGGUAAACUGCAAGCUAGUCCCUGAGAUUUGGUUGAACCUAUAACUUAAUCUUUGUAGUUUUAAAAUCAAGCAAUUUAAUCCUCAACACUUUAAUAAACCUACAAGUUAAUCCCUACCGUUAGAAUUUUAGUUAAAUUCUUGUUAAUUCUAGUAAAAAUUACCAAAAUGCUCUUAAAUUUAUUUUUAAUUUCAAAAUAAUUUAGUCUCUAAGGUUUUGUUCUAUUAACAAUUUAGUCCCUGCAUUUUUAAAAUUUGGGUCUCAUUAAAUUAAAAUUUUAAAUUUAAAUUAUAAUUGGAACCAAAACAAAGA